rnacentral:rRNA from 1 species
UACGGGGGGGGCAAGCGUUGUUCGGAAUUACUGGGCGUAAAGGGCUCGUAGGCGGCCAACUAAGUCAGACGUGAAAUCCCUCGGCUUAACCGGGGAACUGCGUCUGAUACUGGAUGGCUUGAAUUCGGGAGAGGGAUGCGGAAUUCCAGGUGUAGCGGUGAAAUGCGUAGAUAUCUGGAGGAACACCGGUGGCGAAGGCGGCAUUCUGGACCGACAUUGACGCUGAGGAGCGAAAGCCAGGGGAGCAAACGGG